UGAGUAACCUGCCCUUAACUCUGGGAUAAGCCUGGGAAACUGGGUCUAAUACCGGAUAUGACUCCUCAUCGCAUGGUGGGGGGUGGAAAGCUUUAUUGUGGUUUUGGAUGGACUCGCGGCCUAUCAGCUUGUUGGUGAGGUAAUGGCUCACCAAGGCGACGACGGGUAGCCGGCCUGAGAGGGUGACCCGGCCACACGUGGGACUGAGACACCGGCCCAGACCUCCGUACGGGAGCAG
rnacentral:rRNA from 1 species